AGUGAACGCUGGCGGUAGGCCUAACACAUGCAAGUCGAACGGCAGCACAGUAAGAGCUUGCUCUUACGGGUGGCGAGUGGCGGACGGGUGAGGAAUACAUCGGAAUCUACUUUUUCGUGGGGGAUAACGUAGGGAAACUUACGCUAAUACCGCAUACGACCUACGGGGGAAAGCGGGGGAUCUUCGGACCUUGCGCGAUUGAAUGAGCCGAUGUCGGAUUAGCUAGUUGGCGGGGUAAAGGCCCACCAAGGCGACGAUCCGUAGCUGGUCUGAGAGGAUGAUCAGCCACACUGGAACUGAGACACGGUCCAGACUCCUACGGGAGGCAGCAGUGGGGAAUAUUGGACAAAGGGCGCAAGCCUGAUCCAGCCAUACCGCGUGGGUGAAGAAGGCCUUCGGGUUGUAAAGCCCUUUUGUUGGGAAAGAAAAGCAGCAGGUUAAUACCCCGCUGUUCUGACGGUACCCAAAGAAUAAGCACCGGCUAACUUCGUG
rnacentral:rRNA from 1 species